UACACCAGUGGCGCACGGGUGCGUAACGCGUAUGCAACCUACCCCAAACUGGGGGAUAGCCUCCCGAAAGGGAGAUUAAUACCGCAUAACACCAUAUGAGGGCAUCCGAGGAUGGUUAAAGAUUCAUUGGUUUGGGAUGGGCAUGCGUGCCAUUAGCUAGUUGGCGGGGUAAGGGCCCACCAAGGCGACGAUGGCUAGGGGUUCUGAGAGGAUGAUCCCCCACACUGGCACUGAGAUACGGGCCAGACUCCUACGGGAGGCAGCAGUAGGGAAUAUUGGGCAAUGGGCGGAAGCCUGACCCAGCCAUGCCGCGUGCAGGACGAAGGCCUUCUGGGUUGUAAACUGCUUUUAUCGGGGAAGAAAACACCCAUGCGUGGGGAACUGACGGUACCCGAGGAAUAAGCACCGGCUAACUCCGUGCCAGCAGCCGCGGUAAUACGGAGGGUGCAAGCGUUGUCCGGAUUUAUUGGGUUUAAAGGGUGCGUAGGCGGCCCCUUAAGUCAGUGGUGAAAGCCCGCGGCUCAACCGCGGAACUGCCAUUGAUACUGGGGGGCUUGAGUACGGACGAGGUAGGCGGAAUUGAAGAUGUAGCGGUGAAAUGCUUAGAUAUCUUCAAGAACACCGAUUGCGUAGGCAGCUUACUAGGCCGUAACUGACGCUGAGGCACGAAAGCGUGGGGAGCGAACAGGAUUAGAUACCC
rnacentral:rRNA from 1 species